rnacentral:rRNA from 1 species
GACGAACGCUGGCGGCGUGGAUUAGGCAUGCAAGUCGAACGGUAGGAUACCUUCGGGUAUCUGAGAGUGGCGAACGGGUGAGUAACACGUAGGUGAUCUACCCUCAAGAUUGGGACAACCCAGGGAAACUUGGGCUAAUACCGGAUGAAAGCAGCAGUGAUGUUGUUUGAAAGGUGGCGUAAGCUGCCGUUUGGGGAUGAGCCUGCGCUCUAUUAGUUAGUUGGCGGGGUAAAGGCCCACCAAGGCGAUGAUAGAUAGGCGGCCUUAACGGGUGGUCGCCCACACUGGGAUUGAGAUACGGCCCAGACUCCUACGGGAGGCAGCAGUCGAGAAUAGUCUACAAUGGCCGAAAGGCUGAUAGUGCGACGCCGCGUGGGUGAUGAAGGCCUUCGGGUUGUAAAACCCUUUCGUGCGGAAAGAAUAGUCUCGUAGCGAAUAACUACGGGAUUUGACGGUACCGCAGGAAGAAGCACCGGCUAACUCCGUGC